AAGUCGUAACAAGGUUUCCGUAGGUGAACCUGCGGAAGGAUCAAUAAAAAAGAGGGUCAGAAGGUGUGUUUGUUUGUGUCAAUGACACCUUCAUCACACCGACUGAUCUAUCACACACCUUUGCCACACUGUAACAACCGUAAUGAUGCGGAUGGUGGAGAUUCACGUUUUCAUCGUCCGCAGAGUUCACCCUUUAGACAUUAAAUCAACGUCAUCAUAUUGUUGAAAAACAAAAAACUAAAAAUAACUUUUAACGAUGGAUCCCUCGGCUCUC
rnacentral:misc_RNA from 1 species